CGGCGGUCAAAUCGGGCAAAUGUUCCACAUCCGCAAGUCCUUUGAUCCUCUGCUCAUUCUUGGAAGUCGUGACGGCUACGACCCCCUUCUGAAGAGUCCAGAGGAGAAGUACGGUAGUAGAGUCCAACUUUUGGCCGCUGUCCUUGGAAAUGCGUUGCGCAAUACGCUCAAGGACAGGCUUAAGAGGCCCACCGUCGGGAUGACGGAGUACCGGAGUCAAAGGACCGUAAGCUUCAAUCAGGAUACCAUGCUGAGCGGCAAUCUUGAGGACCGGUUCGAGGUGUACAAGGUAUGUUGAUGACCUACGGUUGGCAACAGGCUUAAUUCGAGCCACCCUCAAGAUAGCCUCCAGAUCUUGAGGCCUGAAGUUGCUUACUCCCAAACUCACACCUUCCAAAGUACCGUCAUGAACGAGAUCCUCAAGGUAUGUCCAGAACUGAGAGAUGUUACCAUCCUGCACAACAAAUGGAUUGUGGAUGAGCAAGAGGUCAGGUUUGGUCUGGAGUCGGGCAAUGGAUGCCAGGACAUUCUCCCGGAUAGCUUCCUUAUCGGUAGGGACCUUGCCGGAAACUGGUACAUAUGUAUAAUCCAUACAUCCUCUCUCUUAAGACCAGACGCUCUGAAGGACUCGCCUGUGGCUUCCUCAGUAUUGUAAGCCUGAGCGGUAUCGAUGUGGCGGAUGCCAGAUUUCAAUGCGUGGAUACCCGAGUCAAUCGCGAGCUGCUGUUCUUUGUUGAUACCACCGCUGCCGCUUCCCCAUGCGAGGGAAGGAACAGACUUGCCAUCGGAGAGUUUGAAGGUGCGGGUCAUUAUUGUGAAGUGUGAGAAACGGAGGUAAAAAUGGGGAAUGAGUGCUGCUGGAUGUAUAUAUACAGGCACUCAUUGCCAUAUGGCGUGACGCUUAAUAUAAGUCCGACGUCAUGUCCGUCAGCACGGAUUAUUUAUUGAAUAAUGACUCAAUCAGCAAGGACCGGAUCGAGCUACGCACGCUGCCCUUCAUAAACUGCGGUUAUGGCCGGUCAAGCCACCCAAAUAAAGAAGCUGUCUUAUGUAAGC
rnacentral:sRNA from 1 species